AUGUGGCAACUUUUCAGAGAUGCUAUUCUUACUAGAGACAAUUUGAAAAACCUAAGUGCUUGGGGAAUUCCGGAUGUUCUUUCUACUCCGAGCAGUAGAAUGCAAGACAUGUAUUUUUUGAAUGUCAUAUGGCUAGAGCUGUGUGGGGAACUUUUGGUAAGGUCGUUGGGGCAGAAUGUAGCCGUAAUAACAUUUGGCAAAGGCGGACCUGGUUUUAUGCUUUUCUUCCUGGUGGGCAUAAGUUUUAUAUGUCGGGGAUUGCUGCUACAUGCUGGGGUGUUUGGACUGUAUAAGAAACAAAGUUACUUUUGA
rnacentral:rRNA from 1 species